GGAGUUGUGGCUCAGUGGAGAGUGCUUGCCUGGCAUGUGUGAGGUCCUGAGUUUGAUCCUCAACACCUCAG
rnacentral:tRNA from 1 species